rnacentral:rRNA from 1 species
GCAUUGAGUGCUUGCACUCUUUGGACGUCGACCGGCGCACGGGUGCGUAACGCGUAUCCAACCUUCCCAUUACUGUGGGAUAACCUGCCGAAAGGCAGACUAAUACCGCAUAGUCUUCGAUGACGGCAUCAGAUUUGAAGUAAAGAUUUAUCGGUAAUGGAUGGGGAUGCGUCUGAUUAGCUUGUUGGCGGGGUAACGGCCCUCCAAGGCUACGAUCAGUAGGGGUUCUGAGAGGAAGGUCCCCCACAUUGGAACUGAGACACGGUCCAAACUCCUACGGGAGGCAGCAGUGAGGAAUAUUGGUCAAUGGACGGAAGUCUGAACCAGCCAAGUAGCGUGCAGGAUGACGGCCCUAUGGGUUGUAAACUGCUUUUGUAUGGGGAUAAAGUUAGGGACGUGUCCCUAUUUGCAGGUACCAUACGAAUAAGGACCGGCUAAUUCCGUGCCAGCAGCCGCGGUAAUACGGAAGGUCCAGGCGUUAUCCGGAUUUAUUGGGUUUAAAGGGAGCGUAGGCUGGAGAUUAAGUGUGUUGCGAAAUGUAGACGCUCAACGUCUGAAUUGCAGCGCAUACUGGUUUCCUUGAGUACGCACAACGUUGGCGGAAUUCGUCGUGUAGCGGUGAAAUGUUUAGAUAUGACGAAGAACUCCGAUUGCGAAGGCAGCUGACGGGAGCGCAACUGACGCUUAAGCUCGAAGGUGCGGGUAUCAAACAGGAUUAGAUACCCUGGUAGUCCGCACAGUAAACGAUGGAUGCUCGCUGUUGGUA